GAAUUCGAUUAGAGUUUGAUCAUGGCUCAGAACGAACGCUGGCGGCAUGCCUAACACAUGCAAGUCGAACGAACCCUUCGGGGUGAGUGGCGCACGGGUGCGUAACGCGUGGGAACCUGCCCUUAGGUUCGGAACAACAGUUAGAAAUGACUGCUAAUACCGAAUAAUGUCUUCGGACCAAAGAUUUAUCGCCUUUGGAUGGGCCCGCGUAGGAUUAGCUAGUUGGUGAGGUAAAGGCUCACCAAGGCGACGAUCCUUAGCUGGUCUUAGAGGAUGAUCAGCCACACUGGGACUGAGACACGGCCCAGACUCCUACGGGAGGCAGCAGUGGGGAAUAUUGGACAAUGGGCGAAAGCCUGAUCCAGCAAUGCCGCGUGAGUGAUGAAGGCCUUAGGGUUGUAAAGCUCUUUUACCCGGGAUGAUAAUGACAGUACCGGGAGAAUAAGCCCCGGCUAACUCCGUGCCAGCAGCCGCGGUAAUACGGAGGGGGCUAGCGUUGUUCGGAAAUACUGGGCGUAAAGCGCACGUAGGCGGCCAAGUAAGUCAGGGGUGAAAUCCCGGGGCUCAACCCCGGAACUGCCCUUGA
rnacentral:rRNA from 1 species